UAUGCACACCAUAGGUGCUAAAUAAAUGUGC
rnacentral:piRNA from 1 species